GUGGGGAAUCUUGCGCAAUGGGCGAAAGCCUGACGCAGCCAUGCCGCGUGAAUGAUGAAGGUCUUAGGAUUGUAAAAUUCUUUCACCGGGGACGAUAAUGACGGUACCCGGAGAAGAAGCCCCGGCUAACUUCGUGCCAGCAGCCGCGGUAAUACGAAGGGGGCUAGCGUUGCUCGGAAUUACUGGGCGUAAAGGGCGCGUAGGCGGACAGUUUAGUCAGAGGUGAAAGCCCAGGGCUCAACCUUGGAAUUGCCUUUGAUACUGGCUGUAUUGAGUACGGGAGAGGUGAGUGGAACUCCGAGUGUAGAGGUGCAAUUCGUAGAUAUUCGGAAGAACACCAGUGGCGAAGGCGACUCACUGGCCCGUUACUGACGCUGAGGCGCGAAAGCGUGGGGAGCAAACAGGAUUAGAUACCCCAGUAGUCC
rnacentral:rRNA from 1 species